UCAGGACGAACGCUGGCGGCGUGCUUAACACAUGCAAGUCGAGCGGUAAGGCCCUUCGGGGUACACGAGCGGCGAACGGGUGAGUAACACGUGGGUGAUCUGCCUCGCACUCUGGGAUAAGCCUGGGAAACUGGGUCUAAUACCGGAUAUGACCGCGAAUCGCAUGGUUUGUGGUGGAAAGAUUUAUCGGUGCGAGAUGGGCCCGCGGCCUAUCAGCUUGUUGGUGGGGUAAUGGCCUACCAAGGCGACGACGGGUAGCCGGCCUGAGAGGGCGACCGGCCACACUGGGACUGAGACACGGCCCAGACUCCUACGGGAGGCAGCAGUGGGGAAUAUUGCACAAUGGGCGGAAGCCUGAUGCAGCGACGCCGCGUGAGGGAUGACGGCCUUCGGGUUGUAAACCUCUUUCGACAGGGACGAAGCGCAAGUGACGGUACCUGUAGAAGAAGCACCGGCCAACUACGUGCCAGCAGCCGCGGUAAUACGUAGGGUGCGAGCGUUGUCCGGAAUUACUGGGCGUAAAGAGCUUGUAGGCGGUUCGUCGCGUCGAUCGUGAAAACGUGCAGCUCAACUGCACGCUUGCGGUCGAUACGGGCGGACUAGAGUACUGCAGGGGAGACUGGAAUUCCUGGUGUAGCGGUGAAAUGCGCAGAUAUCAGGAGGAACACCGGUGGCGAAGGCGGGUCUCUGGGCAGUAACUGAC
rnacentral:rRNA from 1 species